CAUUGAAACAUGGGUUCUCAUAAAAACACUGAAGUUAAGCAGUGGUGAGUCUGAUCAGUAACUAGAUGGGUGACCACUUGGGAAUACUAGGUCCUGUA